rnacentral:rRNA from 1 species
UCUUGCAAUUGGAAUGAGUACAAUUUAAAUCCCUUAACGAGGAUCAAUUGGAGGGCAAGUCUGGUGCCAGCAGCCGCGGUAAUUCCAGCUCCAAUAGCGUAUAUUAAAGUUGUUGCAGUUAAAACGUCCGUAGUCAAACUUUAGUCUUACUGGCGUAGUGGCCUGGUCUUCAUUGACCAAGCUCAUUGCUGCCGGAGACUCCAUGUUCAUUAGGGGAAAAUCUCUAGGGGUUUUUUUCUUAUUUGAACAAUUACCAUGAGCAAAUCAGAGUGUUUAAAGCAGGCUUUUAAGCUUGAAUGUGUUAGCAUGGAAUAAUGAAAUAUGACUUUAGUCCUAUUUUCGUUGGUUUAGGUACUUCAGUAAUGAUGAAUAGAAACGGUUAGGGGCAUUUGUAUUUGGUCGCUAGAGGUGAAAUUCUUGGAUUGACCGAAGACAAACUACUGCGAAAGCAUUUGACCCGGGACGUUUUCAUUGAUCAAGGUCUAAAGUUAAGGGAUCGAAGACGAUUAGAUACCGUCGUAGUCUUAACCACAAACUAUGCCGACUAGAGAUUGGGCGUGUUUAUUAUGACUCGCUCAGCAUCUUAGCGAAAGUAAAGUUUUUGGGUUCUGGGGGGAGUAUGGGACGCAAGGCUGAAACUUAAAGGAAUUGACGGAAGGGCACCACCAGGAGUGGAGCCUGCGGCUUAAUUUGACUCAACACGGGGAAACUCACCAGGUCCAGACAUAGUAAGGAUUGACAGAUUGAAAGCUCUUUCUAGAUUCUAUGGGUGGUGGUGCAUGGCCGUUCUUAGUUCGUGGAGUGAUUUGUCUGGUUAAUUCCGAUAACGAACGAGACCUUAUUCUGCUAAUUAGACAGGCCAACUCUUUCGGGUUGGUCUAUAUUAUAUAUUUCACUGGCUU